AUGUGGAGUAGGUACCAUCACUUUCAGCUUACAGAUGAGGACAUUAACCACAGAGUAAAUUGCACAAUGUGCCCGAAGAGGAUGGGACAGCUGCAGAGCUCAGGUCUUCCGGCUGGGAGGCCGGGGCUGUUUCCGGGAGUUGGGGAGGGCCACAGUUGCCAUGCUCAGUGGACACAGCAGGGUGGGAUGGCUGGGUCAUGCCUCAAGGAUGGACUCUGGUCCUGGAGUGAAUCCUGGCUGUUAGUUCAGCUGUUUCAGCUGGUCCUGUCUCCUCUGAUCCUGGAUGCUAAGGGUAAGCAGGGAAGGGUCCAUGGACCCAGUUGGGAGUGUAGGAGGGCUAGGGACAGUGACAGACUGACCAAGGCAAGUGUAGAUGGAUCCAUGUGCAGCAAACCAGGAAAACACCAUGGCUACACAGAAAGGGGCAUUUGCACAUAACACAUACUGUUAGGACCCAUUACCAAGGAACAGAAUUCCAUUCUUAGUUGUACAUUCCUAAAUGCUAGUACAAGAACCUAAUCCAUGAACACUCUCCUAAGGCCACCCUUAAGGAGAUUUCCACCAGAGGUUAAAUGGUCAAAAGCCGCAGGGUAGGGACUGCAGCUUCAUGGAAGGAAAAGGUGGGCAACAGCUCACAAGUCCCCUGAGAAUAUUCCAGAAGAGGCUGAGGAAUCACUGACCAGUUCUGCUGCUGAUGGGGUGAGGUUCGGGGUUGGAGCACUUGGUCUUUGAGGACCGUCCUUGUUCUGACCCUGUAUGGUAUGGUAUGUCCCAGGUCCUGUCUGUGCCCUGCCUGCUGUUCAUAAGGCUGCCCCCAUCCCCUCCUGUCAGGAGCAGGAGGGGCCUAGAAAAAGAGAAUUCUGUUGAGUUCCCAGCUGUUCCUUAGGUAAAUGGCAACUUAUUCAAGAUGUACAAUUGUCUGAAUAAAUCGUAGUUAGUUUGUGUGUAUGGUAUUGUUACUGAAACAUCAAGGGUUUGGUCUAGGUCCUGCUGCCUGCGGCACAGAAAGCCAAUGACUGAGCCGACAAGUACUGCCAAGGAAGAAGACUUUAAUUGGGUGCUGAAGCUGAUGAGAUGGGAGCUCAGCCUCAAAUCUGUCUCCCUGACUGACUAAAAUUAGGAAUUUUUUAAUAGCAGGGAAGAAAUGUAACAACAUGUGAGAAAAUAGGAACUAAGGAGAAGCAAGGGAGCAAUCCUGAUGAAUGAGAAGUCUCAUUGUCUGGAUUCCGUGAUCUGGUGAGUUUCAGUCCUUCCAUACUUUUUUUUGAGAGGGCUGAAGGUAGUUUCCUGAAGAAGAAACUUAGAUUAAGAAAAAGUUUAUAUUUUUAAAAAUUUCAAAUAUAAAUUUCAAGCUUUAAGGCCAGAAGGGUCAAUUUCUAUGUUUAUCAAAAAGAACUGUCUAUGGGACUAUUGGGUCAGUUUCAUUAUAAGGGUCCAAGUUCAUUCAUUUGUUUAUGAAUAUCCUGUUUUCCUAGAACUAUUUAUUAAGAGACUAUCUUUUCCCUAUUGUGGAUGUUGACUGCAAAUGCUUGGGUUUAUUUCUGGGCUCUUUACUCUGUUUCACUGGUCUAUGUGUCACGUCUGUUUUUAUGCCACUACUAUACUGUUUUGAUUACUAUUGUUUUGUGAUAUAGUUUGAAAUGAAAAAGCAUGGUGUCUCCAGCUUUGUUCAGGAUUGCUUUGGCUAUUCAGGGUCUUCUGGUGGUUUCAUACUGCAUGAUCUCACUUGUAUGUAGAAUCUAAAAAAGUCAGACUCACAGACGCAGAGUAGAAUGGUGGUUUCCAGAGGCUGAGAAGUGGGAAAUGGGGACAUGUUGGUCAAAUAAUACAAACUUUCAGUUAUAAGAUGAAUAAGUCUUGGAGAUCUAAUGUACAGCAUGAUGACUAUAGUCAAUAAUGCUGUAUUGUCUACUUGAAAUUUGCCAAGACAGUAGAUCUUAAGAGUUUUCACUACAAAAUAACUAUGUGAGAUAAUAAAUGUGUUAAUUAGCUUGAUUGUGUAAUCAUUUUGCAAUGAAUACAUAUAGCAUAGCAUCACGUUGUAUACCUUGAAUGUAUGCAUUUUUAAUUUGUCAACUAUUGCUACAGUUGUAAAAAAUUCAAAACAAAUACAAAGGAAAUAAGCUAUAUGUGAACAUUAUGGCUGUUUCUCCUAAAGCCUCUCAUACCACUGGGCCCAAUGGCUCACACCUAUAAUCCCAUUACUCUGAGAGGCCAAGGCAGGUAAUUGCUUGAGCCCAGGAGUUCAGACCAGCCUGGGCAACAUGGUGAGACCCCUACUCUACCCCUCCUCCCCCCAAAAAAACCCAAAAAACUAGCCGGACGUGGUGGUGCACACUUGUGGCCCCAGCUACACAGGAGGUUGGAAGGGGAGGAUCACCUAAACUCAGGAGGUUGAGGCUGCAGGGAGCCAUGAUCACGCCACUGCACUCCAACCUUGGUGAUAGAAUGAGACCCUGUCUCAAAAAAAAAAAAAAAAAAAAAGCCUCUCAUACCAAGGCUAACUAAAAUAAAAGCAAGUGUAUUCUUUUUUAAACUCCGUGGGUACUGCUGUUAUGGUGGAUCAUCUCCUACACUGGGCCAUAGUUAUCUGUGUACUUGUCUGUCUUCCCCUGCGAGACUGUGGGUUAUUUAAGCAGAGUUCACAUCUGUAAUAAUGGCUUCGUCUUGCAUGUGUACACCUCGUUAGAGAGACUGAGCCUUCCUUAUCCAUCAUAUUUGACCCUUGGCAAGGGAAGUCAAGUGGGCAUUAUCAUUAUAUACUCAUUUGGUAGUAAGGAUGAAACACCUUGCCUCGGUGGAUAUGGAAUAGUGGUUUCCAGUGUUUUAGAAUAGCUGGUCUGCUCACUACUCUGUCUGAAGCCUUAUGCAGGCUACUUGACCUCUCCUAGCUUUGGGUUUUUUUCAUCUUCAAAAAGAAGAUAAUACCUCAAACAAUUUUUGUGUGUAUAUAUAUAAAUAGAGCUUUAACACAGUAUCUUUCACAUAACAAAUGCCCAAUAAAUGUUAGCAUUAUUACUGUAAGCACAAAGCCUGAGUCUUAUUCUUCUGAUAGCACUCAUUAUUAUUUAUUGAGCAAUUACUAUAUGCUAAGCCUUGUGCUGUGUGCUUCACCUCAGUUACCCUUCACAAAACCCUGUGAGCUUUUUAAAAAUUUUUUAUUUCUUUAUUUAUUUUCGAGACGGAGUCUCGCUCUGUUGCCCAGGCUGGAGUGCAAUGGUGUGAUCUCGGCUCACUGCAACCUCCGCCUCCUGGGUUCAAGUUGAUUCUCCUGCCUCAGCCUCCUGAAUAGCUGGGACUAUAGGUGCACACCACCACAUCCAGAUAAUUUUUUGUAUUUUUAGUAGAGAUGGGUUUUCAUUGUAUUAGCCAGGAUGGUCUCAAUCUCCUGACCUCACGAUCCACCUACCUCAGCCUCCCAAAGUGCUGGGAUGACAGGUGUGAGCCACUUCGCCCAGUUAUUUUUAUUUUAUAGAUGAGGAAACCUUUACCUAGAAAGGUUAAGCUCCCAAGCCAGAUGUGGUGGCUCACAUCUGUCAUCCCAGCACUUUGGGAGGCUGAG
ensembl:lncRNA